rnacentral:rRNA from 1 species
CGUCUAUAUACGUAUAGCAUAUCAAUAAGCGGAGGAAAAGAAACUAACAAGGAUUCCCUUAGUAACGGCGAGUGAAGCGGGAAGAGCUCAAAUUUGAAAUCUUCAAGGUUCUACCUUGACGAAUUGUAGUUUAUAAGAAGUGUUUUCUGUUAGUGGAGUGGCAAAAGUUCUUUGGAAUAGGACAUCAUAGAGGGUGAGAAUCCCGUAUUUGGUCAUUCCUCCUAGCGUUGUGAUACACUUUCAACGAGUCGGAUUGUUUGGGAAUGCAGUCCAAAAUGGGUGGUAAAUUUCAUCUAAAGCUAAAUAUUGGCGAGAGACCGAUAACGAACAAGUACCGUGAGGGAAAGAUGAAAAGAACUUUGAAAAGAGAGUUAAACAGUACGUGAAAUCGUCAAAAGGGAAGCGUUUGACACCAGUGUUGUUUUUCCGAAAAUCAAUUACGAAUGUUUUAUUUUUGAGGAGUUAUGACUUCAUCGGCUUGCUCCUUUCUUUAUGAAACUUUCUUAAUGCACUUUUCGGUUAACAAGUCAACAUCAAUUUCUUUUGUUGUAAAAGGGUAUGAGGAAGGUGGCUUUCUUUUCGGAGAAAGUGUUUAUAGCCUUGUGCCUCUGCAAUCGGAGAGAUUGAGGUCUGCAGCGUAGAUCCUUCGGGGUUAGAUACGUUUGUGCUAAGUUAUAGCUUUUCAUAGACAACUUGUUGACUAUGUUUAGUCUUGUAGCUUACUCGCUGACGCUAUUUUACCUACGCUUAGGAUGUUGACUGAUAUGUAGUCGUA